rnacentral:rRNA from 1 species
AUUGAACGCUGGCGGCAGGCCUAACACAUGCAAGUCGAGCGGUUGAGGUAGCUUGCUACCGAUGCAGCGGCGAACGGGAGAGUAAUACAUGGGAAUCUGCCUGGUAGUGGGGGACACCGUCUCGAAAGGGACGCUAAUACCGCAUAUGCCCUACGGGGGAAAGGGGGGGCACUUCGGACCUCUCCCUAUCAGAUGAGCCCAUGGCAGUUUAGCUAGUUGGUAGGGUAAAGGCCUGCCAAGGGGACGAUCUGUAACGGGUCUGAGAGGAUGAUCACGCAUACUGGGACUGAGACACGGUCCAGACUCCUACGGGAGGCAGCAGUGGGGAAUAUUGGACAAUGGGCGCAAGCCUGAUCCAGCCAUGCCGCGUGUGUGAAGAAGGCCUUAGGGUUGUAAAGCACUUUCAGUGGGGAGAAAGGUAAUUCACUUAAUACGUGAGUUAAUUGAUGUUACCCACAGAAGAAGCACCGGCUAACUCCGUGCCAGCAGCCGCCGUAA